rnacentral:misc_RNA from 1 species
CGCACACAUAAACGCCCUCGCAGGCCAUUCAUUUGCACCCCACCUCUGCUGUCCUCACACUCUCUCGCUCGCCCCCACCACCCCCUCGCCACCAUGCCCCUGCCAGUGAUCGAUAUUGCGCCGCUGUACAAUGACAACAAGGCGGACUUGUUGCGCGUCGCACACGCGAUCGACGAGGCAUGCCGCACGUGGGGCUUCUUCUACAUCACCGGACACCAAAUUCCGAAGGACCGCAGCGAACAGCUGACGAAGAUGGCAAACAAGUUCUUUGCUCUACCGCAGGAGGAGAAGCUGCGGAUCAACAUUGAGAAGACCUCGAACCACCGCGGCUACGGCACGUGUGCUGCAGAGCAGCUCGACCCCAGCAAGCCUGGUGACUGGAAAGAGACCUUCGACAUGGGCUUCCACCUGCCUCUGGACCACCCCUCUGUUGUUGCCGGCAAGCCGCUGCGCGGCCCGAACAACCACCCCACGUGGAUCGAGGGCUGGACGGAGCUGAUGGAGCAGCACUACAGCGAUAUGCAGCGCCUAGCUCUGCUGCUGCUGCGUGCGCUGGCACUCGCACUCGACAUUGACGAGGACUUUUUCGUGUCUAAGUUUCACGAGCCGCUGAGCGUGUUCCGCAUGAUCCGCUACCCCGCACUGCCGGAAGAGAAGGGCCGUGUGGUGUGCGGUGCGCACACGGACUACGGCAUCGUGACGCUGCUGUACCAAGACAAGGUCGGGGGCCUGCAGGUGCAGAACCUGCAGGGCGAGUGGAUGGACGCGCCAUCACUUGAGGGUAGCUACGUUGUGAACAUCGGCGACAUGAUGGCGAUGUGGAGCAACGGGCGGUACAAGAGCACGCCGCACCGUGUGCUAAACCAAGGCGUGGAGCGCAUCUCGAUGCCGUUCUUCUGCGAGCCGAACCCCGAGACAACGAUUUCCUGCCUGCCGAACUGUUUCGACGAGGCGAGCCCCUCGAAGUUUCCGGACGUGAAGGCCGCCGACUGGCUGCUGAAGCGCUUUCAACAGACGUAUGCCUACCGCGCGGACGACCUGAAGUCGCAAUAGGGUGGGCUGUGGAGCAACUGACACACUCAGCCGACGCCCCACCCGCACGUCCGCCUGCCCCCUUUUGCUCUCUCCCACCCCCCGCUCCACUUCACGUGCAGGGCUGCUGGAUGCUCCAUCCCCUUCUUCGCGUCCUUUGCCAAGCGCUGGGGUGAUGGCACCGCUACGCCCACGCACGCAGAUCUGAAGGUUCGAGGGACGCGUCCCCUGUUGACCACUCUAAUGAUAUUAAGGCCAAUGCGACUGCGCCGCCGCUGCGAUGACGCUCAGGACAACGCGUGCAGGCACACGCUAGGCCCAAUGACGGGUUGUGGGAGAACAUGGAAUGGAGAGCAAACAAAAAAACGGCGGGAAAGAGGGAGGCAGAAACACAAGGCGCUGCCCCUUCGAUGCCCUCCUGCAUUGUGCUGCCUCGUCUCCCAUCACAUCCCUCCCUCCCUCUCCCCUCGCCCCCUCCUCUGCAAAG